rnacentral:miRNA from 1 species
ACAGUCUUACGUCAUGGCUGCG